CAUGCAGUCGAACGAUGAUGCCCAGCUUGCUGGGCGGAUUAGUGGCGAACGGGUGAGUAACACGUGAGUAACCUGCCCUUGACUUCGGGAUAACUCCGGGAAACCGGGGCUAAUACCGGAUAUGAGCCGCCUUCGCAUGGGGGUGGUUGGAAAGUUUUUCGGUCAGGGAUGGGCUCGCGGCCUAUCAGCUUGUUGGUGGGGUGAUGGCCUACCAAGGCGACGACGGGUAGCCGGCCUGAGAGGGCGACCGGCCACACUGGGACUGAGACACGGCCCAGACUCCUACGGGAGGCAGCAGUGGGGAAUAUUGCACAAUGGGCGAAAGCCUGAUGCAGCGACGCCGCGUGAGGGAUGAAGGCCUUCGGGUUGUAAACCUCUUUCAGCAGGGAAGAAGCGCAAGUGACGGUACCUGCAGAAGAAGCGCCGGCUAACUACGUGCCAGCAGCCGCGGUAAUACGUAGGGCGCAAGCGUUGUCCGGAAUUAUUGGGCGUAAAGAGCUCGUAGGCGGUUUGUCGCGUCUGGUGUGAAAACUCGAGGCUCAACCUCGAGCUUGCAUCGGGUACGGGCAGACUAGAGUGCGGUAGGGGAGACUGGAUUUCCUGGUGUAGCGGUGGAAUGCGCAGAUAUCAGGAGGAACACCGAUGGCGAAGGCAGGUCUCUGGGCCGCAACUGACGCUGAGGAGCGAAAGCAUGGGGAGCGAACAGGAUUAGAUACCCUGGUUAGUCCAUGCCGUAAACGUUUGGCACUAGGUGUGGGGGC
rnacentral:rRNA from 1 species